rnacentral:lncRNA from 1 species
AGAUAUGGCCCAGUGACUUUCAGGGACGUCUCUAUACUGUACUCUGUUUACACCCAUUACAGCAUUGAGCAAUAUCACCACAGUCUUAAUUUUUAAGAAUGGAAAAUGAAAAGAACAUUUACUGAAGAAAUUGGAGGCCAGGGGAGCUGAAGUGAUGUGUGUCACAUCCAGGAAGAGCCAUUUAAUUGCUUAUGUGAGACUCUAGCAAUCUCUUGGAAAUUGUAGAGGAAGAUCAUGUUACAAGGGAGUUGCCACAAGAUUGAAACAUUCUUGAUUUCUAGGUCACCAAAUGGAAACAAGUUGUCCUGGAUAGUCACUGCGAUUCACAGUAAACUUUCUA